rnacentral:rRNA from 1 species
GACGAACGCUGGCGGCGUGCUUAACACAUGCAAGUCGAACGAAGUGGCGAACGGGUGCGUAACGCGUAAUCAACCUGCCCUUCAGAGGGGGACAACAGUUGGAAACGACUGCUAAUACCGCAUACUUACGGAGUGGCUUGCGUCUGAUUAGCUAGUUGGAGGGGUAACGGCCCACCAAGGCGAUGAUCAGUAGCCGGGCUGAGAGGAGGAAAGGACAAAUUGGGACUGAGAAACGGCCCAGACGCCUACGGGAGGCAGCAGGGGGGAAUCUUCCGCAAUGGACGAAAGUCUGACGGAGCAACGCCGCGGGAGUGAUGACGGCCGUCGGGUUGGAAAGCUCUGUUAAUCGGGACGCGGUACCGGAAUAGAAAGCCACGGCUAACUACGUGCCAGCAGCCGCGGUAAUAC